rnacentral:rRNA from 1 species
CCUACGGGUGGCAGCAGUGGGGAAUAUUGGACAAUGGGGGGAACCCUGGUCCAGCCAUGCCGCGUGUGUGAAGAAGGCCCUCGGGUUGUAAAGCACUUUCAGUGAGGAAGAACGCCUGGUGGUUAAUACCCAUCAGGAAAGACAUCACUCACAGAAGAAGCACCGGCUAACUCCGUGCCAGCAGCCGCGGUAAUACGGAGGGUGCGAGCGUUAAUCGGAAUUACUGGGCGUAAAGCGCGCGUAGGUGGCUUGAUAAGCCGGUUGUGAAAGCCCCGGGCUCAACCUGGGAACGGCAUCCGGAACUGUCAAGCUAGAGUGCAGGAGAGGAAGGUAGAAUUCCCGGUGUAGCGGUGAAAUGCGUAGAGAUCGGGAGGAAUACCAGUGGCGAAGGCGGCCUUCUGGACUGACACUGACACUGAGGUGCGAAAGCGUGGGUAGCAAACAGGAUUAGAUACCCUUGUAGUC